GGCGGACGGGUGAGUAAUGUCUGGGAAACUGCCUGAUGGAGGGGGAUAACUACUGGAAACGGUAGCUAAUACCGCAUAACGUCGCAAGACCAAAGAGGGGGACCUUCGGGCCUCUUGCCAUCGGAUGUGCCCAGAUGGGAUUAGCUAGUAGGUGGGGUAACGGCUCACCUAGGCGACGAUCCCUAGCUGGUCUGAGAGGAUGACCAGCCACACUGGAACUGAGACACGGUCCAGACUCCUACGGGAGGCAGCAGUGGGGAAUAUUGCACAAUGGGCGCAAGCCUGAUGCAGCCAUGCCGCGUGUAUGAAGAAGGCCUUCGGGUUGUAAAGUACUUUCAGCGGGGAGGAAGGGAGUAAAGUUAAUACCUUUGCUCAUUGACGUUACCCGCAGAAGAAGCACCGGCUAACUCCGUGCCAGCAGCCGCGGUAAUACGGAGGGUGCAAGCGUUAAUCGGAAUUACUGGGCGUAAAGCGCACGCAGGCGGUUUGUUAAGUCAGAUGUGAAAUCCCCGGGCUCAACCUGGGAACUGCAUCUGAUACUGGCAAGCUUGAGUCUCGUAGAGGGGGGUAGAAUUCCAGGUGUAGCGGUGAAAUGCGUAGAGAUCUGGAGGAAUACCGGUGGCGAAGGCGGCCCCCUGGACGAAGACUGACGCUCAGGUGCGAAAGCGUGGGGAGCAAACAGGAU
rnacentral:rRNA from 1 species